GUGGCCUUACAUGGGGAGACGGUAGUCAGUGGCUGUCACUCUGCUUGUUGGUGCUUUAACAACAGCUGGUUGAGGAGAAAGGGAACAACAAGCAGCAGGAGUUGUUUGGGCGUCGAAGCAAUGCGAUUGGGUUGUGUUUCAUUUCUCCACUGCCAGGGACCUCCAGCCUUCGGCCGGGGGUCCCCUUCUGCCUCCAGCACAGCCCCCGCCGUGAGGGGACUGAGGCCUUGUUUCUAUACCAGCGGCAAGCCCAGAGCCAAGGGAUUUCCCAGCUCGUGGCCAAAAUAGAACUGGCCAGAUUCUUCCCACUAGUGUCCCAUGACUCAAAGCAAGCAGCCAACCAGCCACUCCCUCCAGGAUACUGCCAGCCGUGGGAGGUGGGGGCGCUACCCAGCCCAGGGGCUAGAUCCUACUGAGCCCUGUUGCAGUGGCAAAUCCAAAGUGAACAAGGUUGAAAUGCCCACUGGCUCAUACUAGGCAAGACCUUGGGUAAAUUCUGCCUGAGAGCUGAGAGGUGACCCACAUCCCAAUCAGAAGUGAGCACAGCAGUUAAUCAACAGAAGUGGUAACUCGAGAAACCUAUGAUGUGAAUCAUGCUUGCGUUCAGUUUAAUGUUGAUAAUAGAUGGUGUUUUCAUUGUGAGUGCCCCUUAAAUGUCUCUCUUUCUCUUUUCAAAAGGCAGCUUCAGGGCAGGAUGAGCUAGAGUUGGGUUUGUUUUUUGUUUUUGUUUUUGUUUUGGCUUUUUGGGUUGUGUUUGCUUGUUCCUUUGUUUUUUUGUUGUUUUGUUUUGUUUUUGUUUUUGAUGUGUGCAUUUGGAGAAGCCCUGCAUUAGGGCCUGUCUCUGGAGGGACUCCUGUCGGCCCACUCGGUGGUUUGACAGGCUCUGUCAGCAUCCAGGGUUUGGAAGAUACAGAUCCUGCAGCCUCGUUUGCAUAGGGCCAGAUGUCAGUCACUGUGCCAAAAGGCAGAGCGGAAUUGCUUAGGGCGGGAGGCAUCGCAGGCUGUGCACCCUGCCCACCCCCAAAGUCCAUGUCUAGGUUGAAAGGGCCGCACCAAGGAAUCAGGUCCACAUGGGUGGAGGAGGUUCAAGAGCUCUGAGAGGAAGUCAUUGUGUUGCAAGACAGCUUCAGUCCUACCUGGCCCUCAAGAAGGGAGGCCGUGGCUGGGUGUCUGCUGACUCUUCCGUGGCUCUUCUGAGAGUAGAUUUCUUAAGCAUGGAAAAGGUCAUUCCCCUGACCUCCUGAUGGGCCUCCCUCCCCUCUCCCAGUCCAGGCAAGCCAGUUGUCCCCGGGUCUCUUUGGUAUUUCAGGUGUUGCCUGUGUCGGACCCAGACUGAGUUGUAGUGGUUCAGCGGUCAUGAGUUUAGCAGGUGGGCCUGCGGCGGGCAGCAGAGUGGAAGAGCGCCUCUGGGAAGAAGGCAGGGCCUUGCCCCUUGGCAGAGGCGCGCCGGCACCGAGGCCACCAGUCCCUCUGGUGUGGGCUUGCAGGAGGGAGGGACACUGAGUGCUCUGGCUCCCCAUGGGCCCCUCGUGAUGCAUACCCUCAUUUUCUGCCACCUUGGAGGGUUUGGCCGAGUUUUUCUUAGUGCCGCUCAUCCCAGGCUCACCCUGGCGGAGGCACCUCUUGAGUGGCUGGAUUUGCUCCGCCCACCAGCCACAUGGGGGCGUGGCAAAGGAGGAAAUGUGCCAGGUCGGGGGUCCGUGCCCAUGACCUCUUCACAAAAGGAAAGGUGUGAAGGAGGAGCCCCCGGGGGCCUGUCCUGUCCCCUGCCAGAAUGUCCCCGGCCAGAACACAGAGUCUCCGCCUCAGCCGGGGGCCAGCUGGCCAGGCACAUUGGCAGAGCGGCCCUGUGGGCUCGCUCUCCCCCUCCCUGUGUCCAUGGUCCGGUGCCGGGGGCCGAUCGGCCCCAGCUUUGCUCGCGCUGGCCGGCCUCUAAAAGCUUGCCUUUGCCCUGGCUGCAGCUCAGCACCCCACACUGGCUGGCACUUCGCUGCUGCCUGGAAGGAAAGAAGAAAGUGGAAGCCACGUGCCUGGCUUGGUCAGGCCAGAGGCAGGUGUACCUGCCCAGGGCAGGGGGAAGCCAAGGGGAGGGAGAUGCAGGACUUCUGGGGGCCAGGCUGGCUCCCGAACAUGUAGUGGGGGAGGAAUGGAGAGCAAGCCCUGGCCACGGGCGCCAUGGGGAGUUGCGGCCAGCAUUUGAGGUCCUGGGGGAGCAGCCGGCAUCUCGGUUGGCCUGUCCUUGAGGCCCAUGUGGAGAGGUGACCUGGCCAGACCCUCAGCGGCCUGCCUAGGGGGUGCCCCUCCAGCCCUGCUUGUCUGUGAGUGCACAGGGGGUUCCCCAACCAGCCUGGCCAAGUUUCCACAUGCUCUUUGCCAGCGUGUGGGAGCUCUGUGUGUGUCUGAGACGGUGUUUGUGGAAGCUUCUUUUAAACCGGCCCUGGGAAGGGAGAGGAGUGUUCCUUCCAGUCCCCAGGUAGCCUUGGCUAAAGAUUUGGGCCCAUGAGAACAGUGUGCUCAGCUGGCCAACUCGCAGCAUCAGCUCACGGUCACAGAGAGAAGGUCGUGCCUGCUCGCGGCCCCCCCUCCCCCACCCCCGUAUUUGGUUCCUUACACCAAAGAUGAUCGGGGCCCAUCUUCUUCCCGGAGGCCCAGGGCCACGUUCCUCUGUCAGCUUGCGAGGAAGCCACCGCCUCAGUCUCCCAAGCCAACCGUCUCUCUUUCUCCUGCGACUUCUCAGCAUCCACAGAAGCUGCUCGCAGGGCGGUCGGUUCCCUUUCUUAUCCGGUACCCAAGUCCAGCUCUCACAUCAUCCCUCUGGCUGCAGCCUCCAUUGGGCCUUGGUUCUUCGUGCUUGUCGAUAUAAUGCAGUGUUUUGUGGUGCGAGCGCAGCUGCCCACACAUACAUCGCAGGGUAUCAGCACGUCUCUGUGUGCUGGUGGUAGGUCUGGGCUGACAGAAGCCCCUCCCUACCUCUCCCUCGGCCAAAAAGACUGUCUCGGACGCCCAUCCCGAGUCAUCCAAAGUGGAGAAGGGGAGGUGGGCGAGGGGAGAAGGGCUGGUGUGGCACUGCCCUGGCCUACUGGGAAGGAGCGCCCUCACUGCACACCCCGCCCUGCCCUCUGGGCGGCGGGUUGGGGUCCUGAGAGGGAACGAGCCUUGCUCUUCUGUAUAUAGAGUCGAGCCACUCCUGCUCAGGAAAACCUAGUCGCUUGUCGUUGCCCUUGUGACAUUUUUGUACACUGGUUUGCUACUCGUGGCACGAAACAAACAAAACAGAGGCGUUUUUCAAGCCAAGCUGUUGUUUUGGAAACCCGCUUUCUUUCAGUGUCCGUUUUGUAUUAUAUUUGGAAGAAUUCUUCAUUUCUCUUGGUGUCAUUGUGGUAGACAGGAUAGGAUAGUCUGACUUGUGAUUCUUUCUGCCAGGAAAAUGGCAGUGCCUCUGUCAUUCCCCCCACCCCCACCCCAGUCCUUCCUCAUUCCCAAGGUGGGAUUGCUAUGCACUGGGCAGACCCCCCCCAACCCCCAUCACCCUGUCACCCGCCCCCCACAGUGGCUUCCUUUCGAGCCAGCCUUUGUGCCCCCACUCCCCCUCCCCCCAAAAAAGGCUGCAGGAUGAGUAUUUUUGCCAAGCUGGUUCUUGGGUGCUCUGUGCCCGCCACCAGUUUGCUCACCUCUUGGGGCAUUUUGUAAUGUUUUCUGUUUUGUAAAACCUUUUGAUUGUACUGAAAUGGUUUCUGCGGUCACCUUUGGAAAUAAAUGGUCAUUAAUUUGUGUACUUAGCAUUCUGAAUUUUAGUCUGAGGUGUUUCUGUUGUUGAAGAUCCCUGAAUGAAAAGGAACCCUCACCACGGGACUUUACUGUUAAAUCUUUACUUCAUUUACUGUUAUUAAAAGAUUUAUGAGAACCCGGGAGUCUUGGCCUUGCUUCCCAGAACCCUCUCAGAAGGGCUUCCGCUUUGGAAAGUAGACAAAAGGGGCCACCGGUGGCCCAGGCCGUGGAGGGACCGCCGAGGGACCGCUGGCAUGCUCAGCACAGCUCUGCCCCAUGAGUUGCGUGGCCGGAUGUGCAGCCUCAGAUUCUCCUGCACUGCUUGCCUCCACCAGGGCUGCAGGGAGCUGGCAGGCCUUUAGCUCGUAGCAGGGCUUGUGUGUCGGGCUCGCGGGGUCCCACGUGCGCUGGGCCAGGCUGGAGGUCCGGGCUAGAGCAGGCAGCUCUGAAACCAGAUGUGAUCCGGCUCCUUCAUCCCAAGUGUCCCGAGGGCCCCUCUGCUGAGCACCGGUCAGAUCCUCCCCGGGGGGGCGGCGGGGAACAGGCCUGCCUGGGGCUUCCCGCUGAGCAACCCCUGGUGACUGAUUAGCUCGGCCCGCCUUUAAGCCCAGUGGAGGCCCUACUCUGUCUUUUGACAGUGCGGCUGCUUCUAGAAGGGACACAGCUAGGCACAGCAGCCCCAAGGGCAGGUGCAGCUAGCUCCUCCUCGCUGGCCGGGGUUGGGCACCUAGGCUAUUGGUGAGGCUGGGCCACAAAUCCACUGGCAAGAUUUGUUCGCUUGCAACCCCAGGUUCUCCAUCAACAAAGCUAUAGCUAUAGCCGUGUGCUGCGGCUCCGUCACACGCAUUCGGGAUGGAAUGCCCUCAGAUGUGCGCCGUGCUGCCUGGCAUGCUAUCUCCAUGGAACAGGCAGAGAAAGCCGAGGCUCAGAGCCCAUCGAUGAGAGAGCUGGCCUGGGAAGCCAGUUUCGUGGGGCUCCAGAGCCUCGGUGCCGGGCACUCUCCCCUGGACUCCGCUGCCUGUCUGGGGUGCUGGGAUGACCGGGUAGACCCUUGCCCAGGACCCCCAGGCCAGAGAGGAACAGGAAGAGAGCCGGGCAGUGAUGCAGAAGGCAAGGCAGAGGCAGGGGAGUCAAGCCCAUCUUUUCUCCCGCUGCCGCACCGGUAGACCUGACCCUGGCGAGCCUCCGAGCCCCUGCAAGGCCUACGAGUAAACAGAAUGGGGAUCAAGGGGCCAGGCCUUGCCUGGCCCCGGGGAGAGGCUGCCAGAGGGAGGCAAGGAAAAUAGGCCCUGUGGUCUAGGUGUGUGUGUGUCCCGUUUCAGAAAGAGCUAAACACCCAUGACCUAGGCCGUGGCCCCCUCUCCCCUGGGCUAAUGCAUCUGCCCCCGCCGAAGGUCUCUGCUCCAAUCUGUACCCUCUACUCCAGGCAACAGUCUUCUCGGUGCCAACCUGACAGCAUCACUUUCUGGGGCUCAUCUCACCCCCACCUCUCGCAAAGACCCUCCCACAGAGUCCCUUGUGCUCCAGCCAUGCGGAACUCCACUUAUUCAUUCUCUGCCAUUUCCCGCUUCCUCGCCUUGUUCUUCGUGCUGUUUCCACAGCUACCCCCUCUCCCUGCUUGUCCAGAGGCCUCAGCUCAAGUGCCAGCUCCUGUGCCCGGCCUUCCCCGUCCGCUCAGCUCCUACAGCCCCUGGUACUCACUGUGAGGCCCCCAUUUGCCUCCUAGUGUGGAAUUCAUCAUGGCGCGCCUCCCGCUCUCCCUCUGGAGACGCUGAACUCCUUGAGGGCAGGCUGGGUUGUGCCUCAUCCUCCAGCCCCUGGCCCAGACCUGGUCCUUGGAAGGUGUUCAGUCAAGAGUGCUCUUAUCCCAGAGUCCUGCAAAAUGGUGGGAGGCGCCGUGGUCCCCUAGUGAGAAACCCUGGCCCCACAGGCUCUUGCCCAUCCCCUGAGUUCUGCUGCAUGGGGCUGUGUGUUCGGAUGGCCCAGGCACCUCAAGCUCCAGCCUGUGGGCCUCCUGGCGGGGGGGGGGGGGGCAUCCUGCUUCUCUACUCUUACCCCCCAAGCCCCCUCCCCCCUCUACCCCCUGGGAGCCAGGAUCCAGGAUGAUGAGGCCGUGUUAUCAGGAAAGAGAACAGAGACGAACCCUUCCCUAGACCGCUGGGCAGGUGGGCGGGCAAGACAGCCAAGGGCCUUAAUGCAUCUCCGGUAGCCACUCAUCCCCCCGCCCCAAGGGUUUCCCCCAUCCACUCUGCUCCUGGAGCAGAGUCGGUGUUUGUUUGCGUGACAAAAGCCCCACCAGCCCGUGGAAUGUGUCACCUACCCCUCUGAGCCCCAAGGAGUUUUCCCCUUGUCCUGGUUUGCAAAGGCCGGCAGGGGAGCAGUGAUCCCCAGAUGUCAGGCUGACAGAUGCAGAUGCGUGUGGUGUGCUAACCUUGGCAACCAGCAGGGCCGGCCCAGUCCCAAAGUCAAGGACUCUCUGUUAGUGCCGGUACCCACCUCUCUCCCAGGCAGCCUCAGCCCAGCCUCUAAGCUGCACAGCUUGGGUGUUUGAGCUGUUCCCAGGGAGGCAGUAGGGAAGGCUGCCCCUUUGCUGAUGGAGAACACACAGGGCUCAGCCCUUCACAGCUGACUUCCUAGGCCAGCCGCUCGCCUCGGAGUCUCCCUAUGCGGCAGGUAAUGAUAACGAGGAGGGCCCCUCCUUGACAAAACUGAUAGGUGACAGGGCACUUGUCCUCCUUUCCAAUGACCCAUCUCCAGCUGUACCACUGCUCCAGCUGUCCGCCCCUUCCUUCUCCUCGCUCAAUCCAAGGGGCCUGCCAGAGGUGCCACCUGCUUUUAUCGGCCCUUCAGCUGCCCCGUCCCUACUUGCGGAGAGUCCCCAGCCUCCUUAUGUUUUGAGAGAAACCCUGGGUGCCUCCAGUAUUCCCCUGCCGAGUGUGGAGGGGCCCUCCUGUGGGCAGCAGGACAUACCCUCAGGCUUCCAGAGUGUUGGAGCUGACAGAAUGCCACCUUUGAGACAGGGGUUUGUAAAUUGUCCUGCAUGUCAGAAUCCCCUGGGGACCUUUAAAAAAAAAAAAAAAA
rnacentral:lncRNA from 1 species